rnacentral:rRNA from 1 species
GUAGGGAAUAUUGGACAAUGGGCGAAAGCCUGAUCCAGCCAUGCCGCGUGAUAGAUGAAGGCCCUCUGGGUUGUAAAUAUCUUUUAUCUGGGAAGAAACUCCUCUAUUCUUAGAGGCCUGACGGUACCAGAGGAAUAAGCACCGGCUAACUCCGUGCCAGCAGCCGCGGUAAUACGGAGGGUGCAAGCGUUAUCCGGAUUCACUGGGUUUAAAGGGUGCGUAGGCGGGUUGAUAAGUCAGUGGUGAAAGCUCCGGGCUUAAUUUGGAAACUGCCAUUGAUACUGUCAGUGUUGAAUGUCGUAGAAGUAAGCGGAAUGUUGCAUGUAGCGGUGAAAUGCUUAGAUAUGUUACAGAACACCAAUUGCGAAGGCAGCUUACUAUGCGAUAAUUGACGCUGAGGCACGAAAGCGUGGGGAGCAAACAGGAUUAGAAACCCUGGUAGUCC